rnacentral:tRNA from 1 species
AACUAGAUGGCUCAGUGGAUAGAGCACUGGCCCUGAAAGUCAGGAGAACCUGAGUUCAAAUCUGAUUUCAGAUA